GCAGCAUCCCAGCCCUGCGGUCCCAUCCAGCUAUACCAGGGACUCUGUCUCCCCUCAACCUCCAGAACCCCAAACCAGUCAUAGCACUACAGCUGACCAGUAGCAGGGUUAUCAUUGGCUGCCAGCCUCUAUGGAUGAGCUCUGACUUCUCAGCGGGGGUUGAUGGAUUAUGCAGCAGGAAUUAAAGCUCUAACUCUCCUCCACUUUCACUGGGUAAGCCAUUAGACUAGAAUGUAAUGGAUGUGGGAGAAGAGAGAAGAAAUAUGGAAUGCCUCUGGCAAUGGCUAGCAUGAUGAUGUACCUCCACACUGCCUGCCGCGUGACUCCCACGGCCACAACACAGGACACCUUGCACUACAUAGCAACUAUUAUUAGUGACAUCAGCUGCCAACCUAAAAGUACACCUCUACCAAGCAUAAGGUGAAACUGUCAGUUCCAUUUCAUGUGGAGUGGAUGGUAUAUAUUUAGCUCUUUUAUGCCUCAGUAGAAGAAGGAGAAUCAUGUGCAGGGAGCCUGCCUUAGCCCCACUGUGCCAAGGGGCUGGCAAUCCCGUGGGCCGGACUGAAAGCCCUGAUGGGCUGGAUCCAGCCCGCAGACUGUUUUCUAUGAACUGCCACUACAUCCUAUUCUACAGGACCGCAGCAAUGGACUUUAGCAUGGAGUUAUGUGAGGUAAUUUAAGUCCAUUGGUUGUCUAGCUGCCAGCUGAAGGAAAAGUCGCCAUAUAACCAGAGAAUGGACAGCAGUGAUUUACUUCUAGCUGUGAUUCUUGUAAACACCAACCACUGUAGAUGAACAUAGUGAACAGAUUCUCCAAUGGCUAUCUACACACCUUGCUUGCUCACAGAUGUUUCGACCACUCAUAUAAGGUUCAAGUUAGGCAAGCCUGGAUUUAGACAGGCAGCCUGCAGGGUUCCAUUUAUUUUGCAAUUGCAUAAGCCUCCUACACAAAUUUUCAAAGCAAAUGAUGGCUUGAUGGAAACAAGCUUAAACAAGGGUACCUGGUACAGAGUACUCUAGGAAUCAGCAGACCUCCUAGUGUUUACAACACUGGUCCACACAAGAGUUUGCGACCUCUCAUAUAGAGUAAGGAAGAAAAACCUGUGUGUGAAAGUUUUGAGGUGGAUCUGCGUCAUAGUGAUGGUCAGUUUAUGGGUGGAAGCAGAUUAAUGAAGCAGGUGAAAGAGCCUUUGAAACCCUGAGAGAACCUUUGAAUCUAUGUUCAAAACAGACAUAAGCCAUAAAGAAAGGAGUAUUCGACAUUGUCUUUUGAUCUUAGAAGGCCAUUCAGAUUAUGAACAAUCCUAAAUGCCUAGAACCAAAAGGAAGCUCCAGCAGCAUGUUAUGUAGUGUGGUCUGCUAAAGAGAUCACAUUGCAGAAGGGGGCCACUGUAUAUUUGUGAAUGAAUCCUUGAACAGUUCAUUCCCUGGUGCCCUUGGCCUAAAUAAAGUAAAUAC